rnacentral:rRNA from 1 species
UACGUAGGGUGCGAGCGUUGUCCGGAAUUAUUGGGCGUAAAGAGCUCGUAGGCGGCUUGUCGCGUCGGAUGUGAAAGCCCGGGGCUUAACUCCGGGUCUGCAUUCGAUACGGGCAGGCUAGAGUUCGGCAGGGGAGAUCGGAAUUCCUGGUGUAGCGGUGAAAUGCGCAGAUAUCAGGAGGAACACCGGUGGCGAAGGCGGAUCUCUGGGCCGGUACUGACGCUGAGGAGCGAAAGCGUGGGGAGCGAACAGG